UACGGAGGGUGCGAGCGUUGUCCGGAAUCACUGGGCGUAAAGGGCGCGUAGGCGGCAUGCCAAGCGUGUGGUGAAAGCCCGGGGCUCAACCCCGGGUCGGCCGUGCGGACUGGCGUGCUCGAGCACUGUAGGGGCGGGUGGAAUUCCGGGUGUAGUGGUGAAAUGCGUAGAGAUCCGGAGGAACACCAGUGGCGAAGGCGACACGCUGGGCCGUACCUGACACUGAUGCGCGACAGCAUGGGGAGCAAACAGG
rnacentral:rRNA from 1 species